rnacentral:rRNA from 1 species
ACUAGCGAUCCGCCGGCGGAUCAUUCGCCCUGGUGGGGAGCUUCCCGGAAACGAAAGUCUUCCGGUUCCGGGGGAAGUAUGGUUGCAAAGCUGAAACUUAAAGGAAUUGACGGAAGGGCACCACCAGGAGUGGAGCCUGCGGCUUAAUUUGACUCAACACGGGGAAACUCACCCGGCCCGGACACCGCGAGGAUUGACAGAUUGACAGCUCUUUCAUGAUUCGGUGGAUGGUGGUGCAUGGCCGUUCUUAGUUCGUGGAGCGAUUUGUCUGGUUUAUUCCGAUAACGAGCGAGACUCUAGCCUGCUAAAUAGUCCAGUCAUCCCGCAACAGUGACUGCCGACUUCUUAGAGGGAUCAUCGGCGUUCAGCCGCACGAGAUUGAGCAAUAACAGGUCUGUGAUGCCCUUAGAUGUCCGGGGCUGCACGCGCGCUACACUGGCGAAGGCAGCGUGCCUGUCCUUUCCCGAAAGGGAUGGGUAAACCAUUGAAAAUUCGCCGUGAUUGGGAUCGGAAAUUGCAAUUAUUUUCCGUGAACGAGGAAUUCCAAGUAAGUGCGAGUCAUCAACUCGCGUUGAU